rnacentral:snoRNA from 1 species
AUCUCAUGAUGAGGACACUUACCAAGUAAAUCCUUGAACCGCACUCAAGCCUCAUACAAAGACUCAUCAUCCAAUUGUUGGAAAGUUGUGAUCUCGUUCCUCAACUU